CCGAAAAGCAGCGCACAUUUCGGUGCUUUAUUUCGGUGCUUUUUUUUUUCCUGAGCCAAUUCUAGCCAAUCAUUUUACGUUUCCGAGGAUAGUAGGCGGGGCCAGGUACGUACGUUCUUUCAGAGCAGAGCUACAGAUUAAAAAUGCCCAAGGCGAAGCGGUCAAAAGUCUGGCUGUACUUCACAGCAAAAGGUGCAAACUCAGCAGCCUGCAACAAGUGCUUUAAUCUGAUACUGUGAUACUGUCAAAGGAGGUAACACCUCAAAUCUGAUGAAACACCUGGCGAUGCAUAGCGUUUUUUUUUAAAGCCGAGAAAUUUGCCGUGUUUGAUAGCUUGCUGCGAGACCUCACACCGUGCACAUCUACUGCGGGUGUGGUGCCUGUUAGCGGACCUGGAGUUAGCAACAUCCCCCCCAAAAGAGUAGAGUCCUGGCCCCUAGCCCUGUCAGCGUAGCAGAAAUGAUGAGGAUGAUGAUGGCAGCAGCAGCCGUUCUUCUCUGCGCCAGUGGACACUCUUUCAAUGAUGAGGAUGUACACAUCCUGGACAGGGAGGAACACUGGUUUGAGCGCGGAGUCAAGGAGGCCAUUUACGUGAAAAGGGAAAGACCAUCUCUGAGUCGAGGAGGGGGCCUAAGGAUACAUCUGUCACCAUCUUACAAUGCUGUGAUUGCAGCCAUUCCCCAACUCUCUGUGAAUGGGACUCAUGGCCAUUGGUUAAUUCUUAAUGAUUAGUGGCUGUGACAAUUUGUAUUAUAAUUUUUUUAUUAAACUGAUCUUACAGCCCAUUGUUCCUUCAGUGGGCUGGUUUCAGUUAUUGCACAAAUGUACUGUUUAUAAGAUUUGGGGAAACCUGCAGUCAGCUGAGACUGAAGAAGUCGCUUGGAUGAGUGACGAAACGUUUCUCCCACUGAAAACUUUUUGGGACUGCAACGUUGUACUUAAACUGUUGGGUGGUUUUGCUACCAUUGAUAGUUAAGGAUGAAUAACUAGCAGAAUAACAGACUAUGCCACAGGGCGACAAACUAUCAUGGGGUGUUAAUGGGUGGGGACUCCGCCUUAGCUCGGGAGCAAAACAAAUUGUGUUCUCCCUUCUUUUCCGACAACUGCUAAUUAACAGUAGUUAGCUCAGGGGCUGCUUCCACCGCAGACUUAACAUUAGCAUUACAAAUUUUAAACUUUCACUAAUGUUUACGAGCACUGCCGCCAUCUUGGAUUGUGAACUCGGGCUUCUUUCACUUUCUAAAGCUGAACGUGAUUUCGCACAGAAAAAUAAACACGCUUACAAACCAUCAUUCCUUCUGUUUAUCUCUGUGGGGAUUUCUUUUAGUUUCCAAAAGUUAAAUCUCACCUGCUGAGACAAACAUGAAGACGCCGACCAACAGUGAAACGGAGCAAAGCGGAGCAAAUGUUCGAGGAGCCAUUUCCGUAUUUAGCUUCCAAGCUAACACGGAAAGGUGGGUUCUCCAGGUGAUGAAGUCAUGUGACUUACGUCAUUUUAAGUCACAUGACUCAGGUACGACCCAAUAAACAGUACAAGCGCUAAGACCCAAGUUACACAGUGGGCCACUAACGACCAGCUAACCACGGAUCAUGAGGCAAAAAUCCCCAUAAGUUGUGAGGAGCUCCUGCAGGUUGAUGGCAGUAACGGGGGAAAUGGCUGCUACAGUGGGAGCCACACUGGCUGUUCAGCGACCCCGUGGCAAUCACCUGUUGCUAGGGAAAAAUUCCCUAGUAACAAUUUUCCUACAGGAUUACAAAAUUCUCCCAGUAAUUAUUUUGGUUGCUAGCAUACUGCUGCAGCUGUAUUUGAACGUACGUAAUGGAUUUGUGGACAAACACCGUUUCUCUGUAACGAACAUGAAACAUGACAGGAGGAGAAAAUAGAGUUUCCUACAAGUUGGACUUACUUUAACAGAUUGGGUGUAGCGCUGAGGCACAACAUUUACCUUGAAGGCAAACCGUGUUAAUCCUUUGCUUUGUGGGUCACUUUUUUAUAAUUUAAGGAUUGGGAUUUGUGUUAUUGUGUGGGACUGUAGCCCCAUCUUUAUUUUAAUUGGUAAUUAUAUGAAAAUGCGUUUCAGGUCACAUGACAGAGUAACACCUAUCUUACAAAUAGUGGAACAAAUUAGUUUCUCCAGUGAGUAAUUAAGUAACAUUACUGCAUUACUAUCCCCACUAAUGGAGAUUCUGAAAAGAAUAAGCAGAAGAGACUAGAUGGAUGGAUGGGUGGAUGGCCUCUUAUUGGGCAUUUGAAACAGAGCAGCAUAUUUCUGCCUGUCUCCACAACAUGUACUUAGCACACAGUGAUAUAGUAGCACUAACAUCUCCAGGUCUAUAAGUUUGCCUGCUGCUUUAAAAAGUAAACUGGAGAUUUCCUGCUGACCCACCUUAGCAACUUUAAGUUUCCUGGUAAUUAAAAGUUACUAAGAAACUUUGGAACACUGUACUAUAAUUAACAUAUGUGAUGACCAUUAGUGUGGUUUGCAGUUAUUUCAGUAAUAUAAUUCAGUAAUGUCUGUACUUAAAUCUAACAGUGACAUUAUGAAGGGCAACCAUAAUAGCAUUGUGUGGUUUAUGUUUCUCUUUCUUUGUUACCUGGUUUGGGGAGGUGGCUGCUUCCUGUCUGAGCAAAAGGCGUGGCCAAGUGCUGAUGACUUUGAAACCACAAUGCCUGCUCAGCAGCACCAAUCAAGUGCUUGUCAUCAAGUGUUUUUAUUUUUCUUCUUUUUUAGGUUUAGUUGUGUUUUUUUGUGCUUGUUCUGUAUUGGAGUUUGUUUUUGUUUUGUUUUGUUCAUUGUGUGGGCAAACCACUAUAAAGGUUACCCUGCUGUCUCUUUGUAUUUAGGUCAGUGUUUGAGUGAAGUUGCA
ensembl:lncRNA